CAACUACUCCCUCUGUCCCAAAUUUCUUGUCUUAGAUUUAUCUAGAUACGGAUGUAUCUAAUACUAAAAUGUGACUUGAUACAUCCGUAUCUAGACAAAUCUAAGACA
rnacentral:pre_miRNA from 1 species